AGAAUGGGGGUUCUAGAUGUUCCUAACUAACCCAGUAGGUGAAGCCUCAAUAGUGCCGAUGAUUUCCGCCGCAUGCUGUAGUGCUCGAUCUGCCACCACUCUCGGGGGAGGGUUGUCGUCGUUCGAUAGCUACAGUAAUAUCUUUCGUGGCUGCAAAUGCUGGACCUGAGUAAUUUAUCAAGAUAAUCAGAAUCAAAAAAUCCGUUCUAUGGCUUCAAGACAUCGCCGCAUCUUUAUCUCUAUUACUCUCUAUCUUUCCUCUUUAUCUCUAUUAUUCUUUAUCUAUCCAUCUCUUUAUUUAUUUAUUUAUUUAUGGGAUAGGAUUUUGUAAUCCAUUGAAAAAUGAGAUGAUAUUUUGUAACUGCACCAUAUGGAAAAAGACAGCUUCGACAUGGACAUUUGGAACUGUUUGUGGCUCCAUAGCUGUGGAAGAUCAUAGAGUAUCUGAUUGAAUUAAGGGAAUUAUGGCAACAAAAAAAAUAAUUAGUAUAAUUAGCAAAUCUUAUGCACCCAUGCUAAUAAAAAUGUCGGCAAUUAUGAG
rnacentral:lncRNA from 1 species